rnacentral:rRNA from 1 species
GACGAACGCUGGCGGCGUGCUUAACACAUGCAAGUCGAACGGAAAGGCCCUGCUUGCAGGGUACUCGAGUGGCGAACGGGUGAGUAACACGUGGGUGAUCUGCCCUGCACUUCGGGAUAAGCCUGGGAAACUGGGUCUAAUACCGGAUAGGAGCCAUUUUUAGUGUGAUGGUUGGAAAGUUUUUUCGGUGUAGGAUGAGCUCGCGGCCUAUCAGCUUGUUGGUGGGGUAAUGGCCUACCAAGGCGGCGACGGGUAGCCGGCCUGAGAGGGUGGACGGCCACAUUGGGACUGAGAGACGGCCCAGACUCCGACGGGAGGCAGCAGUGGGGAAUAGUGCACAAGGGGCGCAAGCCAGAUGCAGCGACGCCGCGUGGGGGAUGACGGCCUUCGGGUUGGAAACUCCUUUCGCUAGGGACGAAGCUUUUUGUGACGGUACCUAGAUAAGAAGCACCGGCUAACUACGUG